rnacentral:misc_RNA from 1 species
AGCCAUGCCCCAGUGUACACCUAAAUAACCAUAUAGAUUAUUAGCAAGUAAAACAACCAUGACACAAGAUUCAAAAGCAUAACAAAAUGCUGCAAAAUUUCUUCCCAAACUAGAAUUCUUCCCGGCACACAUAUGUCCAGUUGGUUGAUGAAAAAGAAACCCUUGAACAAUUGGGUGAGCCUAAAAGAACAAACUCUUAAGCAUCCGGUCAUACAUAGAGUUGACGGAACGUCUUUUUCACACUAUAAAUUGAUACAAUAUUCUUUCGCUUUGGAAAUAAGUGCAGAAAUGCAUCCAUACAUAUAAAUUCAGAUUUGGAAACAGCAGCAACAUCAACAACAAUAGCAGAUGCCAAAAAGCAGUGAUAGACAAUCCACAAUUAACUCCUUGCAUAGGUAUACAAUCACCAUGCUUCCAAGCCAUCACUUCCAUUGUUUCAUAUUUCAUAAUUUUAUAUGUCUACACCUUAUGCCUUCCUAGAUCUGCACUGAGAAAUGCAUCCUGCAAUUGCUAUGACCCUAGCCCUUACCCUCAACUUUGUGAAUAAAUAAACCCAAAUAUACUUCCACUGAAACUAAAUACUCUAAGAUUUUGUUUUCAUUUUCAUGAAUCCUACUAAGAGUGCAAUGAUCCUGACAGUGAUUGUACAACACCUCUCUUGAGACGCUAGAUAAACCUCUCUCGAGACACUAGAUAACAUCCAAUAUAAGCAAUCAGCAUUGAGAUUGAAUAUUAGAUAAAAGUUUGUCUGACUGAACAAAAUUAACAAGUCCCUACGAGAAUUGGGUGAGGCUCCAGGAGUAUGAAUUGGGCUUCUUAUCACAGUUAACAGCAUUCACA